rnacentral:lncRNA from 1 species
CGUCGGUUAUGACUGCUUGCUUGGCUGUCUUUUGUUUUUUUAUUAUCAACGACUGCUUGGCUAUCUAAGCUUGCUAUGCAAGCACUUGAGCACCUACGUGGCUGCCUUUUAAAAUUAAUGAAAAUUGAUAAUUUGCUUUAGAGCUAACCAUGUCUAUUUGACAAAUUAAAGAAGAUACUAUAAGAACAUGAUCCUUCCCAAUCAAUUUUUGGUUUAACUUGCAAAUAAGAGAACAAGAUAAGGAAGCAACAACUAUCAGUUAACAAUAAAUGGCACGACGGAGGAGGUUUUCUCCAAAGGGAAAGAUGUGGACUGUUGUGUUUAUCUUGUCUGGCUAUAUAGAAAAUUUAGAGGAUACGUUAUUUUC